UACGUAGGUGGCGAGCGUUGUCCGGAUUUACUGGGCGUAAAGGGAGCGUAGGCAGACUUUUAAGUGAGAUGUGAAAUACCCGGGCUCAACUUGGGUGCUGCAUUUCAAACUGGAAGUCUAGAGUGCAGGAGAGGAGAAUGGAAUUCCUAGUGUAGCGGUGAAAUGCGUAGAGAUUAGGAAGAACACCAGUGGCGAAGGCGAUUCUCUGGACUGUAACUGACGCUGAAGCUCGAAAGCGUGGGGAGCAAACAGGAUUAGAUA
rnacentral:rRNA from 1 species